rnacentral:misc_RNA from 1 species
GAUGAAGAACGUAGCGAAAUGCGAUACUUGGUGUGAAUUGCAGAAUCCCGUGAACCAUCGAGUCUUUGAACGCAAGUUGCGCCCGAAGCCAUUAGGCCGAGGGCACGCCUGCCUGGGCGUCACACGUCGUUGCUCCCCCAUCUACUCCUUCGGGAUUGCGGGGGGCGGAUGAUGGCCUCCCGUGCGCCUCGUCGCGCGGUUGGCAUAAAUGCCAAGUCCUCGGCGACGCACGCCACGACAAUCGGUGGUUGCGAAACCUCGGUUGCCCGUCGUGUGCGGUCGUCGCGCAUCGAGGGCUCGAAAAAAUUGCCGGGUUCCGGCUCGGCUUUCAACGCGACCCCAGGUCAGGCGGGGUUACCCGCUGAAUUUAAGCAUAUCAAUAAGCGGAGGA